CUCCCAUACUACCAGCCCACCACUUGGGGAAAACCUUGCGAAAGUAAAACUAAUACCCAAUGAUAUCUCUAGAAGACAUCUGAAAGAGAUUAAAGAUUUAUCGGUGAUGGGUGGGGAUGCGUCUGAUUAGCUUGUUGGCGGGGUAACGGCCCACCAAGGCGACGAUCAGUAGGGGUUCUGAGAGGAAGGUCCCCCACAUUGGAACUGAGACACGGUCCAAACUCCUACGGGAGGCAGCAGUGAGGAAUAUUGGUCAAUGGACGAGAGUCUGAACCAGCCAAGUAGCGUGCAGGAUGACGGCCCUAUGGGUUGUAAACUGCUUUUAUAAGGGAAUAAAGUGAGUCUCGUGAGACUUUUUGCAUGUACCCUAUGAAUAAGGACCGGCUAAUUCCGUGCCAGCAGCCGCGGUAAUACGGAAGGUCCGGGCGUUAUCCGGAUUUAUUGGGUUUAAAGGGAGCGUAGGCCGGAGAUUAAGCGUGUUGUGAAAUGUAGACGCUCAACGUCUGCACUGCAGCGCGAACUGGUUUCCUUGAGUACGCACAAAGUGGGCGGAAUUCGUGGUGUAGCGGUGAAAUGCUUAGAUAUCACGAAGAACUCCGAUAACGAAGGCAGCUCAAUGAAGCGCAACUGACGCUAAAGCUCGAAAGGGCGGAAAUCGAACACGAUUAG
rnacentral:rRNA from 1 species